rnacentral:rRNA from 1 species
AUUGAACGCUGGCGGCAUGCCUUACACAUGCAAGUCGAACGGCAGCACGGGUGCUUGCACCUGGUGGCGAGUGGCGAACGGGUGAGUAAUACAUCGGAACGUACCUUAUCGUGGGGGAUAACGCAGCGAAAGCUGUGCUAAUACCGCAUACGCCCUGAGGGGGAAAGCGGGGGAUCGAAAGACCUCGCGCGAUUAGAGCGGCCGAUGCCUGAUUAGCUUGUUGGUGGGGUAAAAGCCCACCAAGGCGACGAUCAGUAGCUGGUCUGAGAGGACGAUCAGCCACACAGGGAGUGAGACACGGCCCAGACUCCUACGGGAGGCAGCAGGGGGGAAUUUUGGACAAUGGGGGCAACCCUGAUCCAGCAAUGCCGCGUGAGUGAAGAAGGCCUUCGGGUUGUAAAGCUCUUUUGUCAGGGAAGAAACACCGGCUCUAACACAGUCCGGGAAUGACGGUACCUGAAGAAUAAGCACCGGCUAACUACGUGCCAGCAGCCGCGGUAA